rnacentral:lncRNA from 1 species
GCCUUCCCCUCCUCGCAGCUGGUCAUUGCUGUGGGUGUAAUUUAAGGCAGAACUUGGCCUUUCUUACAUAUUUCAUUUACUCCCUUGAUUUUAAUUGACCCUGUUACGGGCAUUUCAAGCAUUUCACGAGCCUGUGGUGCCUGGUUUCCCAGGUCAGAGAGAGGUUUUCUCAGACCCUCUGUCCCAACAGGGCUGUUGGCAGCAUGAGCAGAUACCCCUCCCCUGGAACAACCCUGUUCUGUGGGAUUGGGAUCCAGCUUGAAGGUCACCAAGCCCUCAGACCAACAGAGGUCAUCAAGACUCUUCAUCCAGCAUGCAAAAGAAGGAUUUCCCCCUCCUUCAGGCCUCCUUAUCACUUGCUCAGAGGCUCAGGCUUUGGAUCAAACCCCACCUCUGAAAAAUAGUGACCGCUAACUUGAGCAUCCCAGAGUGAUGGAAGAUGGAAGAGCACAGAGAGAUUAGUUAUUCUUAGCCAAAGAGGAGCUUGGGAAGAGUUGCUGUAAGUAAUCAGAUGUGGUCAUUAAUUGCUUCCUGCUCUGACAUGUUCAUCUUAGUGUGGGCUCCACCAAG